AUUAACUCCAAGAUGGAGCCAAAUAACAUUAUUUGAAGAUCCACCACCAUCACGCCCCACAACAGCCGACUCCAAUAUUUUGUAGAGCUUCGCAAGUGCCCCCACUCCAGCGGUGUCAAGAACAUUGAAACUACCAAGAAUAAGUCCAUGUGGUGACCCGUUUUUCUGUAUAAACUCCUUCAGGUUGCUGACAAUCGUCUCGGUUGGGUUCUCUGAUACCCCAUGAAACUUCUUGAAUCCAGUAAUAUGAACCGUUACUCCUGAAGCCCCUUCUGACCCCAUUAAUCAACCAAAGGUGUAUACAGCAAACUAUACUUCAAAU
rnacentral:misc_RNA from 1 species